GACGAACGCUGGCGGCGCGCCUAACACAUGCAAGUCGAACGGAGCUGAGAGAAGCUUGCUUUUCUUAGCUUAGUGGCGAACGGGUGAGUAACGCGUGAGUAACCUGCCCUGGAGUGGGGGACAACAGUUGGAAACGACUGCUAAUACCGCAUAAGCCCACGAUCCGGCAUCGGAUUGAGGGAAAAGGAUUUAUUCGCUUCAGGAUGGACUCGCGUCCAAUUAGCUAGUUGGUGAGGUAACGGCCCACCAAGGCGACGAUUGGUAGCCGGACUGAGAGGUUGAACGGCCACAUUGGGACUGAGACACGGCCCAGACUCCUACGGGAGGCAGCAGUGGGGGAUAUUGCACAAUGGGGGAAACCCUGAUGCAGCGACGCCGCGUGGAGGAAGAAGGCUUUCGGAUUGUAAACUCCUGUCGUUAGGGACGAUAAUGACGGUACCUAACAAGAAAGCACCGGCUAACUACGUG
rnacentral:rRNA from 1 species